rnacentral:rRNA from 1 species
CCUACGGGAGGCAGCAGUGAGGAAUAUUGGUCAAUGGACGAGAGCCUGAACCAGCCAAGUAGCGUGAAGGAUGACUGCCCUAUGGGUUGUAAACUUCUUUUAUAUGGGAAUAAAAUGUUCCACGUGUGGGAUUUUGUAUGUACCAUAUGAAUAAGGAUCGGCUAACUCCGUGCCAGCAGCCGCGGUAAUACGGAGGAUCCGAGCGUUAUCCGGAUUUAUUGGGUUUAAAGGGAGCGUAGGUGGAUUGUUAAGUCAGUUGUGAAAGUCUGUGGCUCAACCGUAGAAUUGCAGUUGAUACUGGCAGUCUGGAGUACGGUAGAGGUGGGCGGAAUUCGUGGUGUAGCGGUGAAAUGCUUAGAUAUCACGAAGAACCCCGAUUGCGAAGGCAGCUCACUGGGCUGCUACUGACACUGAGGCUCGAAAGUGUGGGUAUCAAACAGGAUUAGAUACCCUAGUAGUC